rnacentral:rRNA from 1 species
AGAAUCAACGCUGGCGGCGUGCCUAACACAUGCAAGUCGAACGAGAAAGUGGAGCAAUCCAUGAGUAAAGUGGCGACCGGGUGAGUAACACGUGACCAAUCUACCCUUGAGUGGGGGAUAACCUCGGGAAACCGGGGCUAAUACCGCAUAACAUCCUUGGAACGGAAGUGCUGGGGAUCAAAGGAGCAAUUCGCUUAAGGAGGAGGUCGCGGCUGAUUAGCUAGUUGGCGGGGUAAUGGCCCACCAAGGCAAAGAUCGGUAGCCGGCCUGAGAGGGCGCACGGCCACACUGGAACUGAAACACGGUCCAGACUCCUACGGGAGGCAGCAGUGGGGAAUUUUGCGCAAUGGGGGAACCCUGACGCAGCAACGCCGCGUGGAGGAUGAAGUCCCUUGGGACGUAAACUCCUUUCGACCCGGACGAUAAUGACGGUACGGGUGGAAGAAGCCCGGCUAACUUCGCGCCAGCAGCCGC